UCCCCAGGCGGUCUACUUAUCGCGUUAGCUGCGCCACUAAAGCCUCAAAGGCCCCAACGGCUAGUAGACAUCGUUUACGGCAUGGACUACCAGGGUAUCUAAUCCUGUUUGCUCCCCAUGCUUUCGCACCUCAGUGUCAGUAUUAGGCCAGAUGGCUGCCUUCGCCAUCGGUAUUCCUCCAGAUCUCUACGCAUUUCACCGCUACACCUGGAAUUCUACCAUCCUCUCCCAUACUCUAGCCAACCAGUAUCGAAUGCAAUUCCCAAGUUAAGCUCGGGGAUUUCACAUUUGACUUAAUUGGCCACCUACGCGCGCUUUACGCCCAGUAAAUCCGAUUAACGCUUGCACCCUCUGUAUUACCGCGGCUGCUGGCACAGAGUUAGCCGGUGCUUAUUCUGCGAGUAACGUCCACUAUCCAAGAGUAUUAAUCUCGGUAGCCUCCUCCUCGCUUAAAGUGCUUUACAACCAAAAGGCCUUCUUCACACACGCGGCAUGGCUGGAUCAGGGUUCCCCCCAUUGUCCAAUAUUCCCCACUGCUGCCUCCCGUAGGAGUCUGGGCCGUGUCUCAGUCCCAGUGUGGCGGAUCAUCCUCUCAGACCCGCUACAGAUCGUCGCC
rnacentral:rRNA from 1 species